GCAGUCGAGGGGUAUAUGUCUUCGGAUAUAGAGACCGGCGCACGGGUGCGUAACGCGUAUGCAAUCUACCUUUCACAGAGGGAUAGCCCAGAGAAAUUUGGAUUAAUACCUCAUAGUAUAUAGCCCUGGCAUCAGGAUUAUAUUAAAGUCACAACGGUGAAAGAUGAGCAUGCGUCCCAUUAGCUAGAUGGUAAGGUAACGGCUUACCAUGGCUACGAUGGGUAGGGGUCCUGAGAGGGAGAUCCCCCACACUGGUACUGAGACACGGACCAGACUCCUACGGGAGGCAGCAGUGAGGAAUAUUGGACAAUGGGCGCAAGCCUGAUCCAGCCAUGCCGCGUGCAGGAUGACGGUCCUAUGGAUUGUAAACUGCUUUUAUACGAGAAGAAACACUCCUCCGUGAAGGAAUUUGACGGUAUCGUAAGAAUAAGGAUCGGCUAACUCCGUGCCAGCAGCCGCGGUAAUACGGAGGAUCCAAGCGUUAUCCGGAAUCAUUGGGUUUAAAGGGUCCGUAGGCGGUUUAGUAAGUCAGUGGUGAAAGCCCAUCGCUCAACGGUGGAACGGCCAUUGAUACUGCUGAACUUGAAUUAUUAGGAAGUAACUAGAAUAUGUAGUGUAGCGGUGAAAUGCUUAGAGAUUACAUGGAAUACCAAUUGCGAAGGCAGGUUACUACUAAUGGAUUGACGCUGAUGGACGAAAGCGUGGGUAGCGAACAGGAUUAGAUACCCUGGUAGUCCACGCCGUAAACGAUGGAUACUAGCUGUUGGAAGCAAUUUCAGUGGCUAAGCGAAAGUGAUAAGUAUCCCACCUGGGGAGUACGUUCGCAAGAAUGAAACUCAAAGGAAUUGACGGGGGCCCGCACAAGCGGUGGAG
rnacentral:rRNA from 1 species